GAAUAUUGGACAAUGGGCGAAAGCCUGAUCCAGCAAUGCCGCGUGAGUGAUGAAGGCCUUAGGGUUGUAAAGCUCUUUUACCCGGGAUGAUAAUGACAGUACCGGGAGAAUAAGCACCGGACAACUCCGUGCCAGCAGCCGCGGUAAUACGGAGGGAGCUAGCGUUGUUCGGAAUUACUGGGCGUAAAGCGCACGUAGGCGGCGAUUCAAGUCAGGGGUGAAAUCCCGGGGCUCAACCCCGGAACUGCCCUUGAAACUAGAUUGCUAGAAUCCUGGGGAGGCGAGUGGAAUUCCGAGUGUAGAGGUGAAAUUCGUAGAUAUUCGGAAGAACACCAGUGGCGAAGGCGACUCGCUGGACAGGUAUUGACGCUGAGGUGCGAAAGCGUGGGGAGCAAACAGG
rnacentral:rRNA from 1 species